rnacentral:rRNA from 1 species
UACGGAGGAUGCAAGCGUUAUCCGGAUUCACUGGGUUUAAAGGGUGCGUAGGUGGGUCUGUAAGUCCGUGGUGAAAUCUCCGAGCUUAACUUGGAAACUGCCAUGGAUACUAUAGAUCUUGAAUACUGUGGAGGUUAGCGGAAUAUGUCAUGUAGCGGUGAAAUGCUUAGAUAUGACAUAGAACACCAAUUGCGAAGGCAGCUGGCUACACAAAUAUUGACACUGAUGCACGAAAGCGUGGGGAUCAAACAGG